rfam:Hordeum vulgare subsp. vulgare, WGS project CAJW01000000 data, contig: morex_contig_156611
CACAUACUCCCUCCUUCCAAAAUUCUUGUCUUAGGUUUGUGUAUAUAUGAAUGUAUCUAGUCACGUUUUAGUAUUUGGAUACAUUCAUUUUUAGACAAACCUAAAACAAGAAUUUUGGAACAGAGGGAGUAUGUC